rnacentral:rRNA from 1 species
GACGAACGCUGGCGGCGUGCCUAACACAUGCAAGUGGAGCGACGAACCGGGCUUCGGCCCGGGCCAAGCCGCGAACGGGUGAGUAACACGUGGGUAACCUGCCCUGAUGAUUGGGACAACCCGAGGAAACUCGGGCUAAUACCGAAUGUGCCCUCCGACCAUAAGGUCUGCGGGGAAGGGAAGCUUCGGCCUCCGCAUCGGGAUGGGCCCGCGGCGCAUUAGCUUGUUGGUGAGGUAACGGCUCACCAAGGCGACGAUGCGUAGCUGGUCUGAGAGGACGAUCAGCCACACUGGGACUGAGACACGGCCCAGACUCCUACGGGAGGCAGCAGUGGGAAUCUUGCGCAAUGCGCGAAAGCGUGACGCAGCAACGCCGCGUGGGGAA